UUAGUACUCCCUCCGUCCGAAAAAACUUGUUCUUGAAAUGGUUGUAUCUAGACCUAUUUUAGUUAUAGAUACAUCCAUUUUAUCAAUUUUUAGAACAAAUAUUUUUGAACAGAGGGAGUACUAU
rfam:Triticum aestivum genome assembly, contig: Triticum_aestivum_CS42_TGACv1_scaffold_290729_4AL